rnacentral:rRNA from 1 species
AAAAACAUAGUUUAUAGAAUUUGUUAUAGAUGGGACUUGGUCAAUGGAAAAGAAAAAUUAAUUUUCUUUUUUAAAUUCAUGCCUUACUUCGAGGAGGGUAAUAAAGUAGCAUAAUAACUUGAUAUUUAAUUGGUGUCCGGAAUGAAUAGUGAAACGAUUGUAAUAUUGUCUCAGAAUUAUAAAAAAAAAUUAAAUUAAUAGUUAAGAUUCUAUUUAAAUAAGGAAAGACGAGAAGACCCUAAAACCUUUACUAAAAUUUAUAACUCUUUUAAAAAAAGAAAAAAUAAAUAGUUAGUUUAGUUGGGGCAACUAUCUUUUAUAAAAACAAAUGAUUUUUUUAUUAUUUAUUUAAUAUAAUUAAUAAUUAUUUAAAUUGAAAUGACCUUAUAAAUAGAAUUUUUUUAUAAUUUUCAAGAUAAAAGGUACUUUAGGGAUAACAGCGUAAUUUUAAAGAUAGAGAUGAAAUCAAAUUUUAAGUUUGCGACCUCGAUGUUGAAUUUAGAUUCCCUUCAGCUGUAGGGGGUUGAAAAGGUUAGAUUGUUCAUCUAUUAAAAUCUUACAUGAUUU